GAUGAACGCUGGCGGCGUGCCUAACACAUGCAAGUCGAACGAAUUACUUUAAAGGAAGUUUUCGGAUGGAAUUUAAAGUAGUUAGUGGCGGACGGGUGAGUAACGCGUGGGAAACCUGCCCUAUACAGGGGGAUAGCCUCGGGAAACUGGGAUUAAUACCCCAUAAAACUCUAGUAUCGCAUGAUACAUGAGCCAAAGAUUUAUCGGUAUAGGAUGGUCCCGCGUCUGAUUAGCUAGUUGGUGAGGUAACGGCUCACCAAGGCGACGAUCAGUAGCCGGCCUGAGAGGGUGAACGGCCACACUGGAACUGAGACACGGUCCAGACUCCUACGGGAGGCAGCAGUGGGGAAUAUUGCACAAUGGGGGAAACCCUGAUGCAGCGACGCCGCGUGAGCGAAGAAGGCCUUCGGGUCGUAAAGCUCUGUCCUAAGGAAGAAACGGAACGGUACCUUAGGAGGAAGCCCGGCUAACUACGUG
rnacentral:rRNA from 1 species